GCUGUGAAAAAUCGACGGACAAGCGAGAUGCCACGAGGUGUCACGAUUUUUACGGCGAGGAUAAGCAACGAAUGUAAUCGCGAACGGCUACGAAAGAAUGAGAAAGAGAGAGAGAGAGAGAGAGAAAGAGAGAGAGAAAGAAAAAAACGAGACGUGUGAUCCUGUGUUCAAAGGAAACGAUCGAAAAUUGUGAACGCAAAACCAGCUCGUCGAUGAUCUUCGACGAGACACAAGCGAUCAUUACGUUCGAGUAGGAAGAACAUGCUCGUACGAUAUCCUGGACAGAUGGAUCGUAAGAUGACAGAUUUUUUACGCUUGUUGGUCUCGACGAUGAAUUUUCGCCGAUCGACACUCACCGACGCUCUCUGGCGCUGUCAUCGCUUGUAAUAUCCUGAACGAUCUGGAGGGAAUCGCGCUGCCCAUGUAUUUCUUUGGCUCUGGAACCUGUUGCUCGCUUGGUGGUAAGUUCGCUUGCGUUUCUUCUGCAAAUGUUAUAUUUAUUAUAUAUAUUUUGUAGGAUUAAUGAAAAGUUAAUCUUGCUUCAAUGUAAUGGAGAGCUAAUCAGAGAAAAGUGACUAGCAAGUUUACUUACCAAACGUCUUUGAAUUCCUGUUCUGCUUCUUGUUUAUGGCAGAUGGUGGCCGUGAUGCUGCAACAUACUAAUAGUACAGAGUUGUACCUUUAUAGACGAUGGAUUCCAUGGAAAAGUGGUAAAAGUAUUUUAAAAACAAGAUGGACACAUAUGAAACGAUAUAUAUAUAUAAAAUUGAUAUUUUUCUAUAGAAUUUUGUUAGAAAUUUCCAAGGUUCCAUAACGUUAUAGUAAUAACGUUUAGAAAGAUACAAAAUUUCUUACUGACAUUUCAUUUUAUCUACAAUUUUGUCAAAGUGAUGUUUUAACUAUUUGUACCACUUUCUCUCUCAGCCUGUCGAUCGAUUAAAAUGUAAAAAACUUACUUGUGUUCACAGCAGGAGCAUCACCGGACUCUGUCAUAGUUUGUAGGAAGCGGAAAGCUCGAGAGGGUAUAGCACCACCACGAUAUCUUGGAUCUUCCUCGUGAUGAAGAGAAGAUUCAUUGUCGACUAUAAAAAGAAGAGCACGUAGCAAUAACAGAAUAAUCAAACGAUAAAAAGAACUGGUCAUUCUGGUAAAAUACGAUCUUUACUUUGUUCCUUGAAUUUAUUCAUCAAAAUCCUAUCGUCCUCUGACAAUUGAAGUUUACGCAUCUGUUCAGUGUCCAUGUCGUUCGUUGAAUCCGUGUCUGUGAUCUUCUGAAGAACUCUAAACGAUCGAGAUUGAACUGGACCAGAAUCUGAUUGCUGAACUUGCACAGGUAUAAUACGUUGCGUCAUCCUAACAGUAAUAAUACAACAAUUAAUUCAAAUUUAUAUUUUGACUAAGAUAUAAAUCUAUAUUAGAUUAUUACUAGAUUAUGAAUUUUUAUAAAUUCUUACAAUAUUAUUCAAUUUUUAUAAUAUUUCUUCUACUUUCAAGGCUACUUAUCAGAAAAUUGUCACACCUCUGAAAAUAAACUUACACUUUUUGGUUCUGA